AUUAGAUACCCCUGGUAGUCCACGCAGUAAACGAUGAAUGCCGGCUGUCCGGCCCGACUGGGGGCUGGGUGGCGAAGCGAAAGCGAUAAGCAUUCCACCUGGGGAGUACGCCGGCAACGGUGAAACUCAAAGGAAUUGACGGGGGCCCGCACAAGCGGAGGAACAUGUGGUUUAAUUCGAUGAUACGCGAGGAACCUUACCCGGGCUCAAACGGGAGAUGACGCAGGGAGAGACCCCUGUUUCUCAGGACAUCUUCCGAGGUGCUGCAUGGUUGUCGUCAGCUCGUGCCGUGAGGUGUCGGCUUAAGUGCCAUAACGAGCGCAACCCCUGCCGACAGUUGCUAACGGUUAAAGCCGAGGACUCUGUCGGGACUGCCGGCGCAAGCCGCGAGGAAGGCGGGGAUGACGUCAAAUCAGCACGGCCCUUACGUCCGGGGCGACACACGUGUUACAAUGGGUGGCACAGAGGGAAGCCAGGCGGCGACGCCGAGCGGAACCCGAAAUCCACUCUCAGUUCGGAUCGGAGUCUGCAACCCGACUCCGUGAAGCUGGAUUCGCUAGUAAUCGCGCAUCAGCCAUGGCGCGGUGAAUACGUUCCCGGGCCUUGUACACACCGCCCGUCAAGCCAUGGGAGCCGAGGGCGCUUGAAGUGCGUCGCCGCAAGAAGCGCCCUAGAGCGAAAUCGGUGACUGGGGCUAAGUCGUAACAAGGUAAC
rnacentral:rRNA from 1 species